rnacentral:tRNA from 1 species
GGUCCCGUAGCUCAGUGGUCAGAGCGCCCGAUUUCGAUCGGGUGGCCGCCGGUUCGAAUCCGGCCGGGGUCG